rnacentral:rRNA from 1 species
UACGAAGGGGGCUAGCGUUGCUCGGAAUCACUGGGCGUAAAGCGCACGUAGGCGGAUUGUUAAGUCAGGGGUGAAAUCCUGGAGCUCAACUCCAGAACUGCCUUUGAUACUGGCGAUCUUGAGUCCGGGAGAGGUGAGUGGAACUCCGAGUGUAGAGGUGAAAUUCGUAGAUAUUCGGAAGAACACCAGUGGCGAAGGCGGCUCACUGGCCCGGUACUGACGCUGAUGUGCGAAAGCGUGGGGGAGCAAACAGGG